rnacentral:rRNA from 1 species
CAGUAGCCUCGGGAAAACGGAGGGGGCUAGCGUUGUUCGGAAUUACUGGGCGUAAAGCGCACGUAGGCGGCUUGGUAAGUUAGAGGUGAAAGCCCGGAGCUCAACUCCGGAAUUGCCUUUAAGACUGCCGAGCUAGCAGGUGAGAGAGGUAAGUGGAAUUCCGAGUGUAGAGGUGAAAUUCGUAGAUAAUCGGAAGAACACCAGUGGCGAAGGCGGCUUACUGGCUCAUACUGGACGCUGAGGUGCGAAAGCGUGGGGAGCAAACAGGAUUAGAUACCCGCGUAGUCCCUGUCUCUUAUAC